rnacentral:rRNA from 1 species
AACCCGACUCCAUGAAGCUGGAUUCGCUAGUAAUCGCGCAUCAGCCACGGCGCGGUGAAUACGUUCCCGGGCCCUUGUACACACCGCCCGUCAAGCCAUGGAAGCCGGGAGUGCCUGAAGUGCGUGAGCGCAAGCAGCGCCCUAAGGUAAAACCGGUGACUGGGGCUAAGUCGUAACAAGGUACC